GAAGACAACCCAUACAAACGCACGUACAUGAAUGGGGGCGAAAGUCGUUGAUUCCGCUCGCUAUCUUCCAUCAGUGCCGAAUCGGCUGCCUCUGAUACUGAAACAAACAGUAGAUGGAAGAGACCGGUGAGAACACCUUCGCAAACAUCAAUUACCUCGGUCGACAGCGAUUUCGAUGUAGCCAUUACACAGCUUGGUUCCAAAAAAGCCAGUUCGAAAACUAGUGAUAGAGCUGGCAAGUUCAUUUACACCGACAGUGAAGAAGAAGCGGGACCUUUUAGGCUUUUGAUGUUACCUGCUAAAUUUUUGUUUAAUUGUUUGUAUUUUGUAAAAAUAAAUGUAAAUCAAUUACCAAAAA